rnacentral:ncRNA from 1 species
GAUAAUUUGGUCCUGUAAGGUGCUGCAUCGCCCCGGGCUGUGCAGAGAAUUGGGAAGCCGGUAGAAUUCCGGCACUGCCCCCGCAACGGUAACAAAGGUAAGGGCGCGACACACCGCCACUGGGACGAGGAACCCCGGGAAGGCGUCGCAACCGGCGAAAGCCCCUUUCAAGUCCGGAAACCAGCCUUGCAUAACGUCAAAUC